rnacentral:tRNA from 2 species
GCGGGUGUAGCUCAGUGGUAGAGCGUCACGUUGCCAACGUGAAUGUCGGGCGUUCAAAUCGCCUCACCCGCU